CGGAAGUAGCCGACUCGGCUAGCGAAAGUCACUAGUGCGCAUGCUCUAUGGGCCGCACAAUGCGGAAGAUCCGGGUGCUUUCAUACCGGGAAGUCGAUUUUUUAUUGCUUCACGCGCCACUGAGCAACUUUCAUAGGAAUGAACGGAGCCCUGUCUCCGACGCUGUAUCCAGUUUUCUUUAUACAUCCAUGGGUACAUCCUGUCAGCCGCGGUGUUUCCUAUCUGUGCAGCCGAACUUAGCAGCUCCCUAUGGCAGCUCCUCGACGGACUGUUUCACCCUGACGGUGCCGGUGCUUCCUCCACAUGGAGAGCCGGGGCUAACGUUAGCCGAGAGGCUAGCGGAGCGUUAGCCGCAGCAUGACCGGAGGGAAGCACAGCUAGCUAGCCUCUGCAUUGGCUCAUUCACAACUGUGUGGCCGGUAACAUCCAGUCAUAUUCAGGUGUACAUAUAGUCAGCUGGUCAUCAAGAAGCAAAGUUUUCCUGUUCGCCGUUGGACCACAUCCACUCUCUCAGGAGCCUGUUACCUGGACUUCCACUCACCAUUCGGCCGGAGCCUAAGAUAAGUAUCUACUGCUGCUGAAUCUCUGUGUUUUUUGGGUUUUUUUGGAUGUUGAUGUUUAGUUUUAUUCACUCAUGCAUGCUAUUUAGCUGAUCAUUAGAGAAUACUUACUAUAUACUUGAUGGGUGUUCAUAUCACAGUGAAAUCUAUAGCUGAACUCAUUGCUAAUUUGGGGACAGGACAACAUAAAGUAAAUGAUAGAAAGGUCUUGGUAGUGUCGUGUGUAUUGGAGUGAGUCUGGCACUCUGAGGUCACACACGUCCACAGGCUGCCUUCACUAUGUUUCUACUUUUGUGCCACUUGCUUGUCAGCAACAGCUGCUCUAUUGCUCUGGGCUUCUCCAGACCUGUCAUUUGUCUAGUUAUCUGCUCCAAUGAGCAUCACAUCAGGCUCAGGGCACACUAUAAGAAUGCUAAAACUAAUCAGCUACAUCACCGUCCAGCUUAAAUAGUCACAUAGUAAGACACUUACUUCUCCCCCAGGCCAACUUCCACUGCGUUUUGUAGCCAAUUUACUCCAAAUGACAGUAACACAUUACUGCUGAUUGCUUUCCAAACCACUGGGUUUAGUUCAGUUAAAUGUGUUAUGAAAAUCAACCUACCAACCAAAUACCGCGUCUCUUUCCCUAAAUGUCCUGACAUGUCUGUUUGACACAUCUGAAUGAUACACAGUCAUCACUUUAACAGAGAGAUGAAGCCAGCAAUGUUACAUAUUCCAUCUCUCAAAAGGGCUUAAGUUACAGUGACCAGACAUCCUGGUUUGACCAGGAUUGUCCCAGUUUAAAGCUGGAUAUCCUGAGUCCCAACAAAUAUUUAUAAAACACUAAAAUGUCCUGGUUUUUACCACAAUUAAACUAAUAAUUAUACUGAUACUUGUUUUCAGUGCUUACAUAGACGUUUAUCAUGUUCUGUCCCACUCAUUAUUACCUAACCCAAUAUAAAAAUAUAAAUAAUGCAAAAAAGUCUAACUAAGAAGAAAGACUGCAAAGCAUGAAGUAGCCAGCAAUCUUCUAAAGGGAACUUUCUUAGUUUUUGUUAUUAACAAGAUGCAACUGUGAUUUAAUGUUUUGAAGUUUUAAUCUUUGUAAACUCACGACCAGCUCGUGGCAUAGCGUUGUGAAGAUGUAAGUUACAUUUAUUUUAUGUUCUAGCUUAUAAAGUUGUUUAUAGGCCACAUAGAGAUUUGUACCUUGUUUUUUUACCUUAUUUGCACACUGACAAAUACUAAUGAUUGGUGGAUUUUGGGAGACAAAACAUAUUUUUUUGUCCGCUGAGGUGCUGUUGAUGGUGUUGAAAGGUGCGCUCAGUAGGUGUGCUAAGGGCUGAAAUAAUUGUCCCCCAUCCUGAAGAAAACACCUCUGCAUGAACAUGUGAUAGCGACACUUAAGGGUCCUGGUAAGAGGGUUUGAAAACAUGGUCGACCUAGUUUAAGUCUCUGUCCACUGAUAGUUAUAGUCUUACCAUCAUGGAUACAGCUGAUUCCAGACCGGUUCUUUUCAAAUGAAGGGCUCAUCGCUCCAAGACGCACGGACUGUUCUACCGCCAUCUUGUCCUUUUGUUGUGGAAACUUUAUUGAAAUAACCAGGAGAAUAAAUGUUCUUCAUUUUUCUUCAUUCAGCAUUUUCCUGCAGUUGAUCUAUAACUCACUCUAUGUAAAAGGACCUUUGAGACUGCAAAGUUGUCAAAUCUUAGUAGUAAACUAAAAAGUACAUUUACCUCUGAAAUGUUAUGGAGUAUAAAGUAACUUAAUGGAAGUACCUCAACGCUGUACUUACUUUUCACUUUUGUAUGCUUGAAAGGUGGCAAAAUGUUUAUUAAAUGACACAAAACAUUCUAAAAUACUGGUAUGAUCUUUUGUCUCAUUACUACAAAUAGCCUGUACAGUCUCUUUGGUAUUUCACUACAUGUAACCACAACAUAUUUGUACAUAAAACUGAAUUUCUCAAUACAGUGUGGGUACUCCUGGAACCCAGUGGAAUGAGCUAUAAAAAAUAAUAGCAGGCUUCAGGAAAACGGACUUCCAUUGUUCUUUUUUUUCCCUCCAGAUUUCUAUUUUCCUCCUCAUUGUUGAAUUUCAAACCGCCUCAAGGUCAGCUGUGUGUCUUUUUGCAGCUCCAGCUCUUCAACAGCAGCAGCAGCAGCAUCUCGCCAAAUGAGCUGGCACCACGCUGCCUGACACUGUGAACUCCACCUCCCUGUCUCCACCUGUGGAUGACUGAUGUGUUGUUUUAUAUACUUCUUAGGCUGUCUCUCACUCACACACCCACGAAUGUCACUGCCUAUGCUGCGCAAGUCAGAUCACCGCCUUUCACUUGUUCCCGUUUUAUCUCUUUUUUUUUUCCCACUUCCUUCAGCUGUUGGUUCCUUGCACUGAAAAGCAACAGUUACAUGCACGGACUCGCAUAUCAUUUGCAUUACAAUUUAGAUAAGGUCUGCUAAAGCCCUAAACCUAUAUAUGGCCUUGUUUCUGUGCUAAUACCAGUGUGGAGAUGAUACCACACUGGGAGCGGAGAGAGAGAGAGAGAGAGGGCUCGGCAGUUCUCCCCGAGGAGUCGCUGUCAAUUCUUUAGCACAAAUCAUAAUGAAGGGUUGUGAUAGUGCGUGACGCUGUUAUCAAAGAUCGCACUGUUAAGCUAUUCCCUUGAGAGACAGACAGAGAGAGAGAGAGCUCCAACCAGGGUGUCAAUCACAGGGGCGCUGUGUCUUAAGGGAUGGAGGGGGUGGGAGGUUGGGGGUGGGGGUCGUAUGAUUAUCUCUCCCAGCUCCCACCCGUAUCUCAACUCACCACAUCUGCCCAAUCUGCUCUCUCUGAUGCUUUCUUCUACAUGAAACCGGCAAGUCAAAUCCACAAUUCAUAAAAAUUUCAAUUACUGCUCUGCUGGCACGUCUGCUGCCAACUACCACACAUCCAGAAACACUCCUCACACUCCCUGAGUGCAGUUUAUUCAAAGCAGGUUAUUUGUUAAUUCUGUGGGUAAAUUAUGACCCAACUCGCAUCAUAUGGGACACUAAUUCAACCGCCUACAUAUAUUUGCCUCUUAACUAUGACACAGACAGUACACAGGGGGGGACAGAUGCUCAUACAUACUUGUAGUGAUCAUGAAACAACGGCUUAAACUACAGCUCAAUCAUGCUAUUUUUAGAGUUUCAUGCAAGGAUAAUAAAAGGCCUGUACCACCUGCAAGGCUGUCAUUGUUAUGCAUAUUCAAAAAUAAAGGUGAUCACACACAGCUAUGGACCGUCACUGCCAGAUGAUUCAAAUAAAUAGAGCUUUAAUAAUCACUUGAAGCGCAGACAGAGCAGAACAGUCUGCAUAUUAAUUCAUCUGCUUCUACUGUUUGUGUUUCUUGUCAGCACAUCAGCCCCGAUACCUGCACACUGCUGCAAGCUAGCAUUAGCUACCCAGCAGGUAUGGAGUAGAAUCCUGCAGCAGAGCUGCAGAUAAGAGCCACGAGGAGAAGAAAGGGCCAGCCGAGUACUAAAGCUACAGUUUCGUGCCUUCGAGAGCAACACAGGGAGAGGAAAACUGUCAAGAGUGAUGAACGGAAGAACUACACAGUUUUCAUUGGUCCAAAUCAACUGGUGUUCGUAUCUAAGUGGCCUCAUAAAGACUUUACAAGCUCACAGUUAAGAUGGGAGAGUGUGGUUAUGGCUGUUUAUAAGCAGGGAUGUUGUGAGGGGUAAAACCCUGUAAAAUAAACGUACCUCUUUUAUUUUUGGAA